rnacentral:lncRNA from 1 species
UCGCCUUUAAUAGACGUAUGUUUGAAAACCCCUUCAUGCACACCAUAUGGGGUGAUAAUUCCUUUGUUUCCACCUCCACCAGGUGCUGGCCGUCUUCUGCGGUCACCAGGAUGUGGUCUUCUGAAGUCACCAGGAGGUCUUCUGAAGUCACCAGGAGGUGGUCUUCUGCGGACACCAGGAGGUGGUACUCUGCGGACACCAGGAGGUGGUACUCUGCGGACACCAGGAGGGGGUACUCUGCGGACACCAGGAGGGGGUACUCUGCGGACACCAGGAGGCGGUCCUCUGCGGACACCAGGAGGUGCAGCAAGGCCUCUGCGGGCAACACGAGCAGCACCACUACAACCUAUAUUAUAUUCAAUCC